CGCAACUCUUCAGCGCCACGAACAUUCGUAGCGUACUGGCUCGAGCUUCACUUUAAGGCAUUUAGCCUUAUAUAAAGGUGAAACAUCUGGAUUUCAAGUUACAUCAUAUCAGUAACCAAGGUUUUAAGACGAAAGGAUGGAUGCACACGAUAUUGAAAAUGUUAUAGAAGAAGAGCUGGAGAAGAUGAGUGUGAAUUUCUCUGAUGUGCGCUCCGACAGUGACACUGACAUUGAGGAUGAUUUCACUGCAUCUACUGAAAAGUUAACAAAUGAUCUUCCUGACUCAGUGCUCGUUUACUUUAAAGCUGUGAGAAACAGAGUGAAGACUUUUGAGCAACUCAUUCUUGAAGAUAAUAAUGAUCUUGAGAUCGUGUGCAACGAGAUGUUCAGCCCAAGUCAGCAUGCUGAACUUUUGAAUGAACUAGACUCUAAUUCUGAUGAGGAUCCAUUAAAGCUGAAGGAAAGAAUAAUGUCUGAGACUGAAGAGGACCUAGGCCCACUGUGUGAAACUCACAACCUGAAUGGAGAUUAUGAAACUGAAUAUGACACACACAAGGAUACUGAAAGACAGCUCAGGUUUGAAUGGAGAAGGCUGGAGGAGCGACUGAGGCAGGAGGAAGAGCAGAGGCUGGCCGAGCUCGAGGCUGAGAGGGAGCAGCGUCUGAAAUCUGAAAGAGAAGAGAAAGAGAAGAUGAGGCGCAGAAGUGAGCACUUUAAUGAGGAACUACGGAGGACCAGGGCUGCAAAUCAGUUUAAAUAUUUAGAGCCUGUUGAAGGAGAUAAUGAAAUAACCCAAAGUCUUCCACUUGAAAUGGCCAACCAGCAGGAGGUGAUCAAGAGAUUAGAAGAACAGAUAGCAGAGGAGAGGCGAGUUUUUGAGGAAAUACAGAAGGAGGAGAGGAGGAUAUCAGAGGCACGGUGUACUGCAGCAGCCACAAAGUUACAGGCAGCUUUCAGAGGGACGCUGGUGCGUCGCUGGAGCAAAGUAGAGCUGAAUAAGAAGAGAGACGAGGAGAGGAGGAGACUAGAGGAGAGGAUAGAAAGGGAAAAGAGGAGAGAAAGGGAGGAAAGGAUGAAGAUGGAGUGGGAGAAAGAGAGAAGGCGGGUGGAGGAGGAGGAACAGCGUCACCGAGAUGAGGCAGAGAGGAGAAGAGCCGAGUACGAGAGAGCCAAGCAACAGGAGCACCAUCGUCUGGAGAGAGAGUGUAUGCUGGAGGAGCAGAAAAGGAGAAGAAAAGAAAAGGAGGAAGCAAAGAACAUAGAGGAUGAAAGGAAAAUAAAGAAGGAGGAGAAGCAGAAAAGGAUAGAACAGAUGAUAGUAGAAGAUGAAAUGAGAAAAGUACAGGAGAACAAGGGGAAGAAAAUUAAAGAAGAUGAAAAAGCAAAAGUGAUUCACAAUAAAAUAAAAAGAAAAGAGGAUGUGGAAUCACCAGAAGAGACAGAAAAGAGGAGAGUGGAGGACAAAAGGGAAAAAGUACAGGAGGACGAGGUAAAGAAAAGUAAAGAAAGGGAAAAAUCACAAAGAACUGUGGAUGAACUAAAAAGAACAAAUGAUGAAUUGACUGUAAUGAUAGAAGACAGGAGAGCGGAGGAGGUAAGGAGAAAAGUACAGGAGGAUGAGGAGAAGACAAGAAAAGAAGAAGAAAAAGAAGCUGAAAGGAAAAGUAUGGAAACUAAAACACAGAAAAUGAUGGAAGAGAGGAGCAUGGAGGAGGAGAGGAAAAGAAAAGAAGUAGAAGAAGCAAAGAGGGUUGAGGAUGAAAGGGAAAGAAAAGAAGAGGAAAAGCAGAAAAGUAUGGCAAUCAGGAUUGAGGAAAAGAGGAAAGUACAGAUGGAGGAGGAGAAGGAAAGAAAAGCUGUGGUAGAAGCAAGAAGAAAAGAAGAUGGAAGAAAAAAAAAUUAUGAAGAGAAACAGAAAAAUAUGGAUAGGAGGAGGAUAGAGGAGGAAAAGAAAAGAAAAGAAGAGGAAGAAGAAAAGGUAACUGAGGCCAGAAUAAAAAGAAAAGAGGAGGAGGAAAAGCCGAAAAGGCUGAAAGAAAUAAGACUGGUAGAAAAGAUUCGAUCAAAGCAAAAAGUGCAAGAUAAAGAGAAUGAACAUGAGCAAAUACAGAAAGGACAGAGAAAGAAACUAAAGCAGAAGGAGAUAAAAGGAGAGGAAAGAUUAUUGAAAACAAAUGAAGAUGGAGAGAAUAUGGAGGAAAGAAAUAGAAAUGUGAUUAAGGACAAUGUAAAUAGACUUGAGACUGAGAGAGAAAAUCGAGAGACUGACGAGGAGAGCGAGAAAACUACAAAAUGUGGAAAAGAUGAGACAUGUGUUGAUAAUGAAUCCCAGCUCUGUGUUUCUCAGUCAGUCAGUGUGUCCAAAAGUGUCUUGGCCAGGACUCUGUCCUCUAGAUCUGGGCAAGACGAGCAGCACAGCUUUUUUCCAGAAUCAAUCCUGCACACUGGUAACGGCAACAUAACAGUGAAUCCAUCUGAGGGGAAGAAUGUCACAGACACCAGAGAGCCACAGUGUGUUCUGGAUGACUUAAGCUCUGCAUGUCUGUCUGACAGCACUGAGCAGAAGAGAUUAGCCUGGAUGAUGAACUGCACUCCCUGGUCCAAGCUCUCCAUGCAGAACAAGAGAAAGGGGCUCGGUGCUCCACCUAGGAGGAUGGGGCACAGGAGAGCUCCAGGACAAAGUCUGCUACCUUUACCUGUUGACACUGUACUCAAGUCUGGACCCUGGAGCUCUCUUAAUCAGGUGACUUCAGUAACUCUGGAAGAUUUAUCCGGCUGCAGUCUGUCCACACUUUCUGAGUGUACUAGACUACAGAGUCUGACGCUCAGGCGAUGCAGACUUCAGGCCCUGGAUGGACUUAAUCAGUGUACUGCACUUCAGCAUAUUGACUUACAGGAAAACAAUAUCACAUAUGUUGACUGUGGGGGUCUCGCCAGACUUGAGGUCCUGCUGUUGGGAAGGAAUCAGCUUACGAGCAUCCAUGGUCUGGAUGAUGCUGUGAACCUGUCUGUGCUUCAGCUUUCCCACAACAUCAUCUCCCGCAUCAGUGGUCUGGGAUCUCUGAAAAACCUUCACCGCCUCACAGUCGAUCAUAACCAGUUGAUCAGCACGAGAGGACUCGGUGAAGCUUUCAUGCUUUUGCAUCUGGAUUGUUCGUAUAACCAUCUCAGCCAUGUGGAAGGCCUGGAGAACUGUGCACUGCUCAACACACUGGACCUGAGGGGAAACAGCCUGACAGAGAUGCCCGUGCUUAAGAACCAUGUCCUGUUGAGGGAGCUGUAUCUGGAUGAUAACAGCAUCUGCUCUCUGCAUGGCCUGGAUAGCUGCUGGCUGCCUCUGCUGCGCUGUCUGUCUGUGCCUCAGAACAGUAUCACCCAGCUACCACUGCUAGUGGACUUGCAUUCGCUGAAGACACUUAAUGUCAGUCACAACUGUCUUUCAGAGCUGAGGAACAUUUGUAUGAGUCUUCAGGGAUGCACUCAUCUUCAGGAGCUUAGCAUAACUGACAAUCCUGUACAGCAGGAGAAUAACUGGAGGUCUUCUGUUCUGGCAGUAAAUCCAAGUUUGAUAAAGCUGAACGGAGAGCAAACCGGCGCCUCAGGAAAACUCUCUGUAGACUCAACACAGCUGUGGAGCUUUCAGGCCCUCUGCCAGGCACACCAACAUCAGAUUGACUCAGUACUACAGAGACACUGCAUGGAGAUCAGCUCAGCUCCAUCUGCGCUACAUGCUCAGCUCCUGGUUGGUAACCACACUGCUGAGCUGUUUCAGUUGGCAGAAGAACAACGCUACGCUCAUGAGUGUGGGGACAGUGGUGUAUGUAAGACAGCCGUGAAAGAACCUGUGGCCUCCAGCAAUCGACAGGAAUUAUCUGACUGGAAAUUAUCACAGGAGAAAAGUGGUCAGGAGAGAACUCCAAAUCCAGCAGAGCACAAGACUCUGAGCUGGCAAGCACCACAUCUGCCCAAUUUUACCCACCAUUUCCAGCCCACAUCUGAUGACCAUAAACUUGGUUGUGCAGAUAUCUGCAUAAGUCCUACUCAGAAAUUCAGGGAGACACUAGCAAGUGAGGAAGGAUACAACAAACAUGGUGUCCAGACAUCCAGGAUGGAUCUCAAAACAGUGGCAGUUAUGGUGAUUCAGCGCCGUUGGCGUGAACACAGACAGAAGAAACAAACGAGCCAUUUAGGGCCACCUGCAAAAGCUCCUGCAAGAUUAAGUCGUCAAAGAGAAGUGAAAUCCUGCACAACCAAGCCUGAGUGUCUUAAUAAAGACUACGCUGCCACCGUUGUUCAGGCUGUAUGGAGGGGCUACAUGCUACGGAAGAGGCUGACUCGUGCUCUCAUGCUCACCCAGAUUUCAGAGGGAGAUGAGGCCUUUGAGGAGGUGGACAUGGAUGAAUUCAUUUUUGAUGAGGAAGCCAUGGAGAAGGACUGGAUUUCUCUGCAUCCUGACAUGUCGCCGUCUUCAGUGCUGCCGUAUUCAGAACAGCUGCAGCUGCCAAAGCCUCUGCUUCAUCUGCCUGAACUUCAGAAGAGUGAAUGUGUGCAGCCAUGGAAGCCAAGACAGGCCUGGAUUAGCAGUGGUGAAGCACCAGUGUCAGAGCAGAGUCACUCACCUGAUCCAAGCACCAGAACACAGUCUACAGCAUCCACACAAGGAAAAUGUUAUUUCUCAGAAAGAUUUGAGAAAAUUCUGGAAGAAUGGGGUAUUACCAGUGGUUCCACUGCCCAUCUUAUGCUAAAAAGGGCUCAGAGGAUGAAGCCUCAGAAGCAAAAGCAUCGGAAAAAGUAUUUGGUGUAGGGAAAAUUUACAGCAUUCGGUCCUGGGAUUCAAAAGUCACAGCUUCCUGAUCACUAGGUCAUCAUCUUGACCACUGAGCUACCACUUGUAAAUAAUCACGCAGGCUUUCCUUUCAGAGCAAUGGAACGCAGUAACAGCAAGCAGCUCUCCUUCUUUCUGUCAUGUUUAAUUUGCCUGAAUUUCCGAGCACUUGCCGGAAUCGACUGUUCUGCACUGCGUUGUGUGCCUAAGCUUGGCUAUUAUUAAGAGGAGCUAUAGAAGAGUCGCUUGUUCUGAAGUUACUUCACGGUUCUAUGAGCAUGAGAAGAACCCCAGAGACAGUAGUCCUGAUCCGUGCCAAGAUCCCAAAGGCCUGGCCUGAAGCUGGAUUUGAUCAGGGUCAGAAGAGCGUGACUCUUAAUGCCACAAAUCCAAUCAUGGGCCCAUGAAAUGAGGGUCUGUGUGGAACUCAGAAAGUCUCUGCUCCUGUUGAAGCCGAGCACUCUGCUAAUUCGAAGUGAUAGUGCGGUUUGGGUCCUGUGUCUGAGCAUGAGCUCAUUUUAACUUUGUUUCGGUCUGUCAGUCUGUGUUCUGGUGUCACAGACCCAGCAGUAGAUUUGGCUCUGUUCAGGAACCACAACAUGCAGCCUGUGGUGAUGGCGAUCCAAUAAUCCAGACCUGAAUUCUGAGAGGUAAUUAAAGGUAGGAUCAAGACAUCACAGCUCAACUGACAUCACCACAACUGACCAAAAAAAUAAAAUCCGCAAGCUUUAAAGGACGUGAUAUAGCGAGUUCUCUAUAGUAACAUGGAUAAUGUUAACAUUCUUUGAGGAACAUGGUCUGAGUUAGAGCUCUUUGGUUCACUGGAAAACCUGGGCAAAGCUUACCUUGAUUAAAUUGAAGGCACAUGACAUGGCUGUUAAUAGCCAGCCAUUACGUUGUUUGGGAUGAUAGAGAAUAAACAAGAUGAUUGUAUUUCAAGAGGACUUGGUUGCAGAGCUGAAGUGUGAAAUCGAGUUAAGUGCAGUGGAGGUAGAGCACUGAGGGGUUCCAGACUCCUCUGUGUGAGUGAGUGAGUGAGUGAGUGAGAGAGAGAGAGAGAGAGAGAGAGAGAGAGAGAUUUGUCUGUAGUUCAGUGUCAAUAUACUAGACAGAGAGAAUAGCUGUCAGUAAGAGGGGGCUAUUAGAUAGAGGGUAGUCAGGGGGUGGUUAUCAUUUAAAUGGGGUAGAUAGUGAGAUGCAAGGAAUGUACUUCCUCUCAUGACGAAAGGUUUCUCACUUGCUGUUGUCUUGUCUUCUUCUAAUUAUUUUUUUGUUGUUGCGAUUCCUCCAGCAGUCUCCUGGUGUAUGUAAGCUGAUCCCCAUUUUCAAGUGGGUUACUUCAUGUCCAGCACAUCCACAAAAGAGAGCCUGGAUAAAAUAAACACGGGCGAGUCAGAUAUCUCGGAAAGAAUCUGUCACGGCUUUGGGGGCUAAUCACCUCCAGAAGGGGGCUCAGAGCAGGGGGCUGAAAUGCAAGCCGGGGAGAGCAGGGGAGCGGUGCUCGGCCCGAGGCGUGAGGGCAUCCCUAGGGGCACAGCGUCGGUGCCUUGCGCAGCUGGCAGAGGAGAUGUGAGUGCUCAGGAGGCAGUCAGAGGAGAGCCUGAGCAGACAUACAAGCACACACAGAAACGCCACAGAACCUACCAGUGGCUCCAAACCCAAGCCAUGCCAAGCCGGAAAAGCUCUGCCCC